rnacentral:rRNA from 1 species
UCGGGUCCUCGUGGCCCGCACUCCAACCCCAUGUGUAUCAACUUUUGUUGCUUUGACGGGCCCGCGGCGUAACGCCGCAGCCGGCUCAUGCUGGCCAGCGCCCGCCAGAGAACCGUUAAACUCUUGUUUAAACAGUGUCGUCUGAGCAAAACUAUAACAGUUAAAACUUUCAACAACGGAUCUCUUGGUUCUGGCAUCGAUGAAGAACGCAGCGAAAUGCGAUAAGUAAUGUGAAUUGCAGAAUUCAGUGAAUCAUCGAAUCUUUGAACGCACAUUGCGCCCCCUGGCAUUCCGGGGGGCAUGCCUGUUCGAGCGUCAUUUCAACCCUCAAGCUCUGCUUGGUAUUGGGCGUCGCAGGAGCCUGUCUCCGGCGUGCCUCAAAGCCAUCGGCGGUGGUGCCCUUCUCUAAGCGUGGUAGAAUCUUUAUUCGCUUCUGAGUUGGGUCCCACCCGCCGGAUAAACCGGGCCUCGCGCCCACUUUCUCAAGGUUGACCUCGGAUCAGGUAGGGAUACCCGCUGAACUUAAGCAUAUCAAUAAGCGGAGGAAAAGAAACCAACAGGGAUUGCCUUAG